GCCUUUGUAGCUCAGUUAGUUAGAGCGCUGUACUGGAUCGCAGAGCCGCAGGUUCAAUUCCUGCUCAGAGGUA